GGGAGCUUAGCUCAGUUGGCUAGAGUGUGGGUCUCAUAAUCCCAAGGUCGUGAGUUCGAGCCUCACAGUUCCCA
rnacentral:tRNA from 1 species